ensembl:miRNA MIR526A2 microRNA 526a-2
GUGACCCUCUAGAGGGAAGCACUUUCUGUUGAAAGAAAAGAACAUGCAUCCUUUCAGAGGGUUAC